AGAGUUUGAUCAUGGCUCAGAACGAACGCUGGCGGCGUGCUUAACACAUGCAAGUCGAACGAGAAAGGGUCUUUCGGGACCUGAGUACAGUGGCGCACGGGUGAGUAACGCGUAGAUAACCUGUCCUGGUGUCUGGGAUAACCCUUCGAAAGGGGGACUAAUACCGGAUACGCUCACGAGUCGGGAGGCGAGUGAGGAAAGAUGGCCUCUGUUGCAAGCUAUCGCACCUCGAGGGGUCUGCGUACCAUUAGCUUGUUGGUAGGGUAACGGCCUACCAAGGCGACGAUGGUUAGCGGGUCUGAGAGGAUGAUCCGUCACACUGGCACUGAAACACGGGCCAGACUCCUACGGGAGGCAGCAGUGAGGAAUAUUGCGCAAUGGGGGAAACCCUGACGCAGCGACGCCGCGUGAGUGAGGAAGGCCUUCGGGUCGUAAAACUCUGUCAGAAGGGAAGAAGUGCAGUGAGGUUAAUACCCUUGCUGUUGACGGUACUCAG
rnacentral:rRNA from 1 species